GACGAACGCUGGCGGCGCGCCUAACACAUGCAAGUCGAACGGAGUCAAGAGGAGCUUGCUUUUCUUGACUUAGUGGCGAACGGGUGAGUAACGCGUGAGUAACCUGCCCUGGAGUGGGGGACAACAGUUGGAAACGACUGCUAAUACCGCAUAAGCCCACGGAUCUGCAUGGAUCUGCGGGAAAAGGAUUUAUUCGCUCUAGGAUGGACUCGCGUCCAAUUAGCUAGUUGGUGAGGUAACGGCCCACCAAGGCGACGAUUGGUAGCCGGACUGAGAGGUUGAACGGACACAUUGGGAGUGAGAAACGGCCCAGAAUCCUACGGGAGGCAGCAGUGGGGGAUAUUGCACAAUGGGGGAAACCCUGAUGCAGCGACGCCGCGUGGAGGAAGAAGGUUUUCGGAUUGUAAACUCCUGUCGUUAGGGACGAUAAUGACGGUACCUAACAAGAAAGCACCGGCUAACUACGUG
rnacentral:rRNA from 1 species